CCUCUACCGGUUAACCAGGACGACUAUCCGGUCGACCGUUCGUCUUUUGGCCCUGAGGAGGAACCUUUGCAACAACAAAGUGAGGGCACCCAAAGGUCGACUCAAUCGAGGGUCGGUACCCCA
rnacentral:rRNA from 15 species